GGUAAAUCCUGAAUUGCUAUAGCAGUUUUGAUCUAAGUGCAGCUGAGAUCUUUUGUAUCAAAGGUGUUGGCUGCUAGAUUGUCGUGGCCAAGGGAAGAAAGCAGUCAUUUGUGCACAGGUGGAGAAAGCAAGGAGUAAUGUUACUGCCAGAAUAUCCUGAUGCUUCAAAGACAAGCAGGUGACUCCACUUCCUUAUUGUUCCUAUAGCAGAGAGAGAGACAAAGGAAGGAGUCGUCGUCGUCCUCGUCGUCGUCCUAGUCCUCGUCGUCAGCAGCAGCAGCAGCAGCAGCAGCAGGAAAGGGAGAGCUGAAGACAUGAAGAAGAGGCACGGCUGCUUCUAGUCCACAGGCUGGAUAGAGAGAAGGCUGAUACCUAUGUUCAAGAUAAUUCUCAUAUAAAGGUAAGAGGAUCUUUCACAAAAGGGAUAAAGCACCCCUUCAGGAGCAUGCUCUAAUCUUGGCUGGUAUGGGGCUCCUAAAAUUAUUGAUUGUUGCUGCUGCUUCUUUGAUUGCGCAGCAGUAGGUGAGCAGGUGUUGUGGGGUCAGCGUGGUUGGGUGGGCACAUUAGAG
rnacentral:lncRNA from 1 species